UACGGAGGGUGCGAGCGUUGUCCGGAAUCAUUGGGCGUAAAGGGCGCGUAGGCGGCUUGGCAAGUGGAUGGUGAAAUCCCUCGGCUUAACCGAGGAACUGCCGUCCAAACUGCUUUGCUUGAGGCCGGGAGAGGCGAGUGGAAUUCCCAGUGUAGCGGUGAAAUGCGUAGAUAUUGGGAGGAACACCAGUGGCGAAGGCGGCUCGCUGGACCGGUUCUGACGCUGAUGCGCGAAAGCGUGGGGAGCAGACGGG
rnacentral:rRNA from 1 species